rnacentral:rRNA from 1 species
AUGGCAAGGGCAACUUCUCCGAACUGUUCAGAUCUACUAUUCAGGAGUAUGAGCAAUCCCUUGAAGCCAAGCAUUCUCCCGUUGCAUCCUAGGAUAGAAUCUGGAGCUGGAGCAACAGAUCCAGCACUUUGUAUCAUGGAGCAAAAGGAAACGGUGUUCCAUGUAAUAUGCGACCCACAACUAUAUCAAUGUAUCCUAUGUAUGAUGAGUGUGAUAGGUGGUAGAGAGGGCUCACACAUGAACAUAAUGUACUAUUGGCAUUUAUGUACAAUCUGGGCGUCUGUCCGGGAUGCUCGCAAUCUUCUGGUGCCAUUUUUCUUUGGAAAGAGCCAUUUGUCCUGUACUUCUCUGAGUUAA